rnacentral:rRNA from 1 species
GACGAACGCUGGCGGCGUGCUUAACACAUGCAAGUCGAACGGGAAAGGCCCUGCUUUUGUGGGGUGCUCGAGUGGCGAACGGGUGAGUAACACGUGAGUAACCUGCCCUUGACUUUGGGAUAACUUCAGGAAACUGGGGCUAAUACCGGAUAGGAGCUCCUGCUGCAUGGUGGGGGUUGGAAAGUUUCGGCGGUUGGGGAUGGACUCGCGGCUUAUCAGCUUGUUGGUGGGGUAGUGGCUUACCAAGGCUUUGACGGGUAGCCGGCCUGAGAGGGUGACCGGCCACAUUGGGACUGAGAUACGGCCCAGACUCCUACGGGAGGCAGCAGUGGGGAAUAUUGCACAAUGGGCGGAAGCCUGAUGCAGCAACGCCGCGUGCGGGAUGACGGCCUUCGGGUUGUAAACCGCUUUCGCCUGUGACGAAGCGUGAGUGACGGUAAUGGGUAAAGAAGCACCGGCUAACUACGUG